rnacentral:rRNA from 1 species
CGGGAACCGAGCUACCCAUCCCUACGGAACAACUCCGGGAAACUGGAGCUAAUACCGUAUACGCCCUUUGGGGGAAAGAUUUAUCGGGGAUGGAUGAGCCCGCGUUGGAUUAGCUAGUUGGUGGGGUAAAGGCCUACCAAGGCGACGAUCCAUAGCUGGUCUGAGAGGAUGAUCAGCCACAUUGGGACUGAGACACGGCCCAAACUCCUACGGGAGGCAGCAGUGGGGAAUAUUGGACAAUGGGCGCAAGCCUGAUCCAGCCAUGCCGCGUGAGUGAUGAAGGUCUUAGGAUUGUAAAGCUCUUUCACCGGAGAAGAUAAUGACGGUAUCCGGAGAAGAAGCCCCGGCUAACUUCGUGCCAGCAGCCGCGGUAAUACGAAGGGGGCUAGCGUUGUUCGGAAUUACUGGGCGUAAAGCGCACGUAGGCGGAUAUUUAAGUCAGGGGUGAAAUCCCAGAGCUCAACUCUGGAACUGCCUUUGAUACUGGGUAUCUUGAGUAUGGAAGAGGUAAGUGGAAUUGCGAGUGUAGAGGUGAAAUUCGUAGAUAUUCGCAGGAACACCAGUGGCGAAGGCGGCUUACUGGUCCAUUACUGACGCUGAGGUGCGAAAGCGUGGGGAGCAAACAGGAUU